GAGCGGUGGGUCAUGGCUGGCUGCACCCGCAAACUCACUCACCUCCGUAAACGGAUCCAUCGCCCCAGGCGUCGGACUACGAGACGAUGGAAACGGUGGUUCAAAUUCAGGAAGAGAAAAGGAGAGAAAAGGCCAAGACCUAAUCAUAAGGCAGUGGCAAGAAGAGCUAAACUCAAGUUCUCUACCUCAGGGAAUGGCAUAGUACUGCCACCUAAACCCAAAAGCAAGGUCAAGUGGUGCCAUUUCUCCACUCUUCCAAAGCCAAAGCCUCAGCUGUCUAGAAGCUUUGAAAAGGGAGAUGACUUUUCUGGGAAGAAAUUUUGUAUAUUGACUGCUAUAAAACCCACCAACUUAGAGAAAGAAAAACUGAGAUUCUUCAAAUCUGACUAUACCUACAAUCCUCAGUUUGAGUAUGCCAAUCCUGCUCUGCCAAGCGU
rnacentral:lncRNA from 1 species